CCUACGGGAGGCAGCAGUAGGGAAUAUUGCUCAAUGGGGGAAACCCUGAAGCAGCAACGCAGCGUGGAGGAUGAAGGUUUUCGGAUUGUAAACUCCUUUUGUUAGAGAAGAUAAUGACGGUAUCUAACGAAUAAGCACCGGCUAACUCCGUGCCAGCAGCAGCGGUAAUACGGAGGGUGCAAGCGUUACUCGGAUUCACUGGGCGUAAAGAGCGCGUAGGCGGGAUAGCAAGUCAGAUGUGAAAUCCUAUGGCUUAACCAUAGAACUGCAUUUGAAACUGUUAUUCUAGAGUAUGGGAGAGGUAGGUGGAAUUCUUGGUGUAGCGGUAAAAUGCGUAGAGAUCAAGAGGAAUACUCAUUGCGAAGGCGACCUGCUAGAACGUAACUGACGCUGAUGCGCGAAAGCGUGGGGAGCAAACAGGAUUAGAUACCCGGGUAGUC
rnacentral:rRNA from 1 species